rnacentral:rRNA from 1 species
UAAGGAAUAUUGGACAAUGGAGGCAACUCUGAUCCAGCCAUGCCGCGUGAAGGAAUAAGGCCCUAUGGGUUGUAAACUUCUUUUAGACGGGACAAAACCCCUUUACGUGUAAAGGGUUGAUGGUACUGUCAGAAUAAGCAUCGGCUAACUUCGUGCCAGCAGCCGCGGUAAUACGAAGGAUGCAAGCGUUAUCCGGAAUUAUUGGGUUUAAAGGGUGCGUAGGCGGACUAAUAAGUCAGUGGUGAAAGCCUGCAGCUUAACUGCAGAAUUGCCAUUGAUACUGUUAGUCUUGAGUACAGUUGAGGUAGGCGGAAUGUGUCAUGUAGCGGUGAAAUGCUUAGAUAUGACACAGAACACCGAUUACGAAGGCAGCUUGCUAAGCUGUAACUGACGCUGAGGCACGAAAGCGUGGGGAGCAAACA